UCCUUGGUUUCCAAGCAACUCUUGUAAAUGUUGCAUUGAAAGUGAUCUAAUCCACUCAACCGGACUGUUGACAACAAUUCAGACUAAUUACGGAAGCUAACCAUAUUCACCAGCAAGGACUUUCCAAAUCUCUUCUCUUGCGCUAUAAGACAAAAAAAAUCCACCCCGUCCAUUUUUGCAUUAACCUGCAUAUCGGUUUAAAGGAGGACGUCUACAGACAAACCCACAAAGUUUCUUUGGAUCUGGGAAGAUUUGGCGAGUGGAAAAGAGGGCAAGCCACCCUCCACUGGGGUCACUUUCACAAGUGGCCUCUGAGAUCCAAGAGAAAAACUCAGUUUGAUUCAGAGGAUUUAAAUAAAGAUUUAUGAGUUCU